rnacentral:rRNA from 1 species
UACGGAGGGUGCAAGCGUUAUUCGGAAUUAUUGGGUGUAAAGCGCGUGUAGGCGGUUUGGUAAGUCAGAUGUGAAAGCUCCGGGCUUAACUCGGAAAGUGCAUUUGAUACUGCCAGACUUGAGUGUGGGAGAGGAAGGUGGAAUUCCCAGUGUAGAGGUGAAAUUCGUAGAUAUUGGGAGGAACACCGGUGGCGAAGGCGACCUUCUGGACCACUACUGACGCUGAGACGCGAAAGCGUGGGGAGCGAACAGGAUUAGAUACCCGCGUA